CUACGGGGGGCUCCAGUGGGGAAUAUUGGACAAUGGGGGAAACCCUGAUCCAGCAAUGCCGCGUGGAGGAUGACGCAUUUCGGUGUGUAAACUCCUUUUAUAUGUCAAGAAGAUGACGGUAGCAUAUGAAUAAGCACCGGCUAACUCCGUGCCAGCAGCCGCGGUAAUACGGAGGGUGCAAGCGUUACUCGGAAUCACUGGGCGUAAAGGACGCGUAGGCGGGUGGGAAAGUCAGGUGUGAAAUCCUACAGCUUAACUGUAGAACUGCACUUGAAACUUCUAAUCUAGAGUAUGGGAGGGGGAGAUGGAAUUAGUGGUGUAGAGGUAAAAUCCGUAGAUAUCACUAGGAAUACCUAAAGCGAAGGCGAUCUCCUGGAACAUUACUGACGCUAAGGCGUGAAAGCGUGGGGAGCAAACAGGAUUAGAUACCCCAGUAGUC
rnacentral:rRNA from 1 species